GUUAUAUGAAACAAGUGAAAAUCAGGGCUUCGUGCAUUCCUUGGAGUUGUACAGAAAGAAAAAAGAAGAACCGAGGCACCUGAAUCAAACUUAUUUUUACCAGAUGUGCUUCGGUAUUUUUCUUUUAAAGUCACGUGAAGCAGCGAGCAGAUGUUUUAGCUGCAGCUGGGGGUCCGCCUUCGCGAGAGCACAGCCGCAGAACAGCAGCUCUGACACAAAGCGCUUGGAUUUUUUCCUUAAUCAAGAAAGAGAAGAAGUUUAGACGCUGUUUUUUUAAAUGGAGAGUUUGGAGUUGUUUUGUUGGUGUUGUUAUCGAAGCUAGGAAGAAGACGAGCGCUCUCCUCCCCUUCUCUUCCCCCUCCUGCUCUGCUCUUCUGCUCGGGGAUUUCUCUUUCUGAUAGACGACUGUGCAGGAUUUGCUUUUCCUUUCUCGAGGAGAAGAGAGACAGAGACAAUGAUUUACAGCUCAUUGCUUCUGCACUUUUGUGUGAACCCUAGCGAUGUCCAAGAAAGCAAUGUCCAGUGCCGUCCAAACCCUUUAUCCAGAAGUCCAUCUCUACCACUGCUCCUCUGCGAUGUGUCACAUUACCCAACAGGCAACACCUCUGUUCAGCUCCACUUCAGGUUCUGUGAGGGGGGUUUGUUAAUGCAGAGUGCUGCUUAAUGCAUCUUUGUCAGGACCUCCUGGAGGGGAUCUGCGGGGGGUAAAUCCAGGCCUCCAUACCCCAGGGGGUAAUUAGCCUUCAGUGACACCUCCAAACAAUCUUUUAGGCCCUUACCUCCUGGGCAGACCUUGAGCCUUAAUUAAGUUUCCUUAACUGGUGGCUCACUUGACAGUUAUCCUGCACAGUACAUACAUACCCAUGUGCAGGGCUUUUAUAAAUACACAUGAUGCUGAGACUCACCUCAUGGCUCUGGGUCUCGUGAGUAUGGUUGACUGGGUGUGUGUGUAUGAUGGAAAGCUUUGUACAAUCCAUAUGGGAAUGUGUGUGCAUGAAUGUUGGCAGCUGUGUAUGCACACAAAGGAAGUGUACAUGUGUGACUCAGGGGAGAAAGACAAAAAGGAAGAAAUAGGUGGAAAUGAACAACGUUUCUGGAAUAUUCUCUGAUAUGGCGGAUGUGGAGCAGGAUAAAUAAUGCUUUAUUACCAACGUAAACUCCACAUCCCACUCAUAUUCUAUUGGGAAUAGCACGGAAACAGCACUCAGCUCUAAUACAAGGAGAAAUGCUAAAUCAACUAAGUCAUAUUUUCCUAAAAAAAAAAAAAAAGAGUUAAGUUUACAGGCACAGUAUGCUGUCUUAUUGAUACAGUGUCCAAAAAAGCAUGAUGCACUUGAGCAUUUUCCCAUAGAUGAUUGCAUGUCUCAAAACAGAGCUUGACUUUUCGCGGGUGUACAAAUUGUCUUUCAGAUUAGUCAUAAAAUUUAAUAUUUCCUGCUCACUUAUGCAACUUUUGUUCACUGCAUCCCCUCCUCACUCGUUUCAGAAUUAAAGUGUCGUCUGCACCAGUGAUUUUUUGGCAACCUUGAUUUCUCAUUUUUCAUUCUGUAGGCCAGUGGAGGACUGGAAACCACCAUGAGCUAUGAGCCGAUCUUCUUGUGGCUUUGACCGUCCCUAUCUUCAGUCCCAAGGAAAAAAAUUCUCA
ensembl:lncRNA